UUGUGGAGGAGGACGCCGAAGGUGGGGCUGAUGACUGGGGUGAAGUCGUAACAAGGUAGCCGUACCGGAAGGUGCGGCUGGAUCACCUCCUAACAGGGAGACAAUAAAUAGAUUGUGAUGUCUAAGUUAUUUAUUCUUAGGCCGCAAUCCUGUCACCUUAAGGUCGAUCGGUACCUCAGAUUUUUGAAUUAGUUUUUCAAUUGAUUCUUUGAUUUCAGUUCCUAAACUUGUCUAGGUCACACCCAACAAAGGUUUCUCCUGGGCCAUUAGCUCAGGUGGUUAGAGCGCACCCCUGAUAAGGGUGAGGUCCCUGGUUCAAGUCCAGGAUGGCCCAUUCGUUGUUGGGGGUAUAGCUCAGUUGGUAGAGCGCCUGCUUUGCAAGCAGGAUGUCAGCGGUUCGAGUCCGCUUACCUCCACUGAAAACUAUCCUGAUAACUAAAUUUCUGGAGAAAAAAAUUGUAGAUGUGGCUUAGAAUUGUCUAUUUGAAAAGAACCUAGCUUCUUGUCAUCUUUUUAUAGUUGAUAACAUGCUGGGCUCGCAUGGAUUAUUUCCAUGAGAAUUCAGUAGAACCUUGAAAACUGCAUAGAUUAGAAAGAAUAAAGCAUCUCAUGGAUGCAUAGUUCUGUUUUUAUAAUUUAGCCUUAAAACUAAAUUAUGUAAUUCUAGAAUUCAUGUUUAAUUCUUGAGUAAUAGCCGAGCACAAUUGAUUUUGUGAUUGUAUUAAAGGUCAAGCUACAA
rnacentral:misc_RNA from 1 species